GGGGAAUAUUGGACAAUGGGCGAAAGCCUGAUCCAGCCAUGCCGCGUGUGUGAAGAAGGUCUUCGGAUUGUAAAGCACUUUAAGUUGGGAGGAAGGGUUGUAACCUAAUACGUUGCAAUUUUGACGUUACCGACAGAAUAAGCACCGGCUAACUUCGUGCCAGCAGCCGCGGUAAUACGAAGGGUGCAAGCGUUAAUCGGAAUUACUGGGCGUAAAGCGCGCGUAGGUGGUUAGGUAAGUUGGAUGUGAAAGCCCUGGGCUCAACCUGGGAACUGCAUCCAAAACUGCUUGGCUAGAGUACGGUAGAGGGUAGUGGAAUUUCCUGUGUAGCGGUGAAAUGCGUAGAUAUAGGAAGGAACACCAGUGGCGAAGGCGACUACCUGGACUGAUACUGACACUGAGGUGCGAAAGCGUGGGGAGCAAAC
rnacentral:rRNA from 1 species